ACGGAAGGCAGCAGUGGGGAAUAUUGCACAAUGGGGGAAACCCUGAUGCAGCGACGCCGCGUGAGUGAAGAAGUAUUUCGGUAUGUAAAGCUCUAUCAGCAGGAAAGAAAAUGACGGUACCUGACUAAGAAGCCCCGGCUAACUACGUGCCAGCAGCCGCGGUAAUACGUAGGGGGCAAGCGUUAUCCGGAUUUACUGGGUGUAAAGGGAGCGUAGACGGCUUUGCAAGUCUGAAGUGAAAGCCCGGGGCUCAACCCCGGAACUGCUUUGGAAACUGUAGAGCUAGAGUGCAGGAGAGGUAAGUGGAAUUCCUAGUGUAGCGGUGAAAUGCGUAGAUAUUAGGGGGAACACCAGUGGCGAAGGCGGCUUACUGGACUGUAACUGACGUUGAGGCUCGAAGGCGUGGGGAGCAAACAGGAUUAGAUACCCUGGUA
rnacentral:rRNA from 1 species